rnacentral:rRNA from 1 species
UACGUAGGGUGCAAGCGUUAAUCGGAAUUACUGGGCGUAAAGCGCACGUAGGCGGAUCUUUAAGUCAGGGGUGAAAUCCUGGAGCUCAACUCCAGAACUGCCUUUGAUACUGAGGACCUUGAGUUCGGGAGAGGUGAGUGGAACUGCGAGUGUAGAGGUGAAAUUCGUAGAUAUUCGCAAGAACACCAGUGGCGAAGGCGGCUCACUGGCCCGGUACUGACGCUGAGGUGCGAAAGCGUGGGGAGCAAACAGG